GGUUUCGUAUAGAGUUUCUGGGCU
rnacentral:siRNA from 1 species